UACAGAGGUCUCAAGCGUUGUUCGGAUUCAUUGGGCGUAAAGGGUGCGUAGGCGGCGGGGCAAGUCUGGUGUGAAAUCCCGGGGCUCAACUCCGGAACUGCACUGGAUACUGCCUUGCUAGAGUACUGGAGAGGGAACUGGAAUUUACGGUGUAGCAGUGAAAUGCGUAGAGAUCGUAAGGAAGACCAGUGGCGAAGGCGAGUUCCUGGACAGUAACUGACGCUGAGGCACGAAGGCUAGGGGAGCAAACGGG
rnacentral:rRNA from 1 species